GAUGAAGAACGCAGCGAAAUGCGAUACGUAAUGUGAAUUGCAGAAUUCAGUGAAUCAUCGAAUCUUUGAACGCACAUUGCGCCCGCCAGUAUUCUGGCGGGCAUGCCUGUUCGAGCGUCAUUUCAACCAUCAAGCCCCCGGCUUGUGUUGGGGACCUGCGGCUGCCGCAGGCCCUGAAAAGCAGUGGCGGGCUCGCUGUCACACCGAGCGUAGUAGCAUACAUCUCGCUCUGGGCGUGCUGCGGGUUCCGGCCGUUAAACCACCUUCAUAACCCAAGGUUGACCUCGGAUCAGGUAGGAAGACCCGCUGAACUUAAGCAUAUCAAUAAGCGGAGGA
rnacentral:misc_RNA from 1 species